GCAGAUAUAGCCCAGUGGUAGAGUGCAUGCUUAGCAUGCAUGAGGUCCUGGGUUCAAUCCCAGUACCUCCA
rnacentral:tRNA from 1 species